rnacentral:rRNA from 1 species
AUUGAACGCUGGCGGCAGGCCUAACACAUGCAAGUCGAACGAGUAGCGGACGGGUGAGUAAUGUCUGGGAAACUGCCUGAUGGAGGGGGCUAACUACUGGAAACGGUAGCUAAUACCGCCUACCAUCCGAUUUGCCCAGAUGGGAUUAGGUAGUAGGUGGGGUAACGGCUCACCAAGGCGACGCUCCCUCGCUGGUCUGAGAGGAUGACCAGCCACACUGGAACUGAGACACGGUCCAGACUCCUACGGGAGGAAGCAGUGGGGAAUAUUGCACAAUGGGCGCAAGCCUGAUGCAUCCAUGCCGCGUGUAUGAAGAAGGCCUUCGGGUUGUAAAGUACUUUCAGCGGGGAGGCGUUACCCGCAGAAGAAGCACCGGCUAACUCCGUGCCAGCAGCCGCGGUAAUAC